rnacentral:rRNA from 1 species
AUUGAACGCUGGCGGCAGGCUUAACACAUGCAAGUCGAGCGGGGUGAUGUGCUUCGGUACUGAUCCUAGCGGCGGACGGGUGAGUAAUGCUCAGGAAUCUGCCAUUUAGUGGGGGACAACAUUCCGAAAGGAAUGCUAAUACCGCAUACGUCUUACGGGAGCAAGCAGGGGACCUUCGGACCUUGCGCUAAAUGAUGAGCCUAAGUCGGCUUAGCUAGUUGGUGGGGUAAAGGCCUACCAAGGCGACGAUCUGUAGCGGGUCUGAGAGGAUGAUCCGCCACACUGGGACUGAGACACGGCCCAGACUCCUACGGGAGGCAGCAGUGGGGAAUAUUGGACAAUGGGCGGAAGCCUGAUCCAGCCAUGCCGCGUGUGUGAAGAAGGCCUUUUGGUUGUAAAGCACUUUAAGCGAGGAGGAGGCUACCUGGAUUAAUACUCUGGGAUAGUGGGCGUUACUCGCAGAAUAAGCACCGGCUAACUCUGUGCCAGCCGCCGCGGUAAAAC